rnacentral:rRNA from 1 species
CUUCGGCCUCCAACUCUUCACCCAUUGCGUACCUACCUUUGUUGCUUUGGCGGGCCAUGGGGUUCGCCUCACGCUGGCCUCCGGGCUGGUGAGCGCCCGUCGGAGGCCCUUUAAAACUCUGUUAAUAGUGACGUCCGAGUAAAACACAAAUAGUAAAA